rnacentral:rRNA from 1 species
GGGGAAUCUUCCGCAAUGGGCGCAAGCCUGACGGAGCAAGACCGCGUGCGGGAGGACGGCCUAUUGGUUGUAAACCGCUUUUGAUAGGGAAGAAGCUCUGACGGUACCUAUCGAAUCAGCAUCGGCUAACUCCGUGCCAGCAGCCGCGGUAAUACGGAGGAUGCAAGCGUUAUCCGGAAUUAUUGGGCGUAAAGCGUCCGUAGGUGGUUGUUCAAGUCUGCUGUUAAAGCGUGCGGCUUAACCGCAUAUCAGCAGUGGAAACUGGGCGACUAGAGUGCGGUAGGGGUCAGGGGAAUUCCCAGUGUAGCGGUGAAAUGCGUAGAUAUUGGGAAGAACACCGGUGGCGAAAGCGCCUGACUGGACCUGCACUGACACUGAGGGACGAAAGCUAGGGGAGCGAAUGGGAUUAGAUACCCCAGUAGUC